rnacentral:tRNA from 1 species
AAGACUCUAGUAUAAUGAUUAUUACACUGCUUUGUCAAGGCAUAAAUGUGGGUUUAAAUCCCACGUGUCUUA